ACGCCACAGCUCUGGGAAGGGAGAGUCACUGUCAGAUCCAGCUGCUCUGCAGGACUCUGGGGAAAAGCUCACACUAAGUAGACACCGUUCUGCCACCAUGGGUAAAGGAGACCCCAACAAGCCGCGGGCAAAAUGUCCUCGUAUGCCUUCUUUGUACAGACCUGCCGGGAAGAGCACAAGAGGAAACACCAGGACUCUUCUGUCAAUUUCGCCAAAUUCUCCAAGAAAUGUUUGGAGAGAUGGAAGACCAUGUCUGCAAAGGAAAAAUUGAAGUUGGAAGAUAUGGCAAAAAGUGACAAAGCUUGCUAUAACAGGGAGAUAAAAAUUAUGUUCCUCUCAAAGGUGAUAAGAAAGGAAAGAAAAAAGAUUCCAAUGCUUCUAAAAGGCCACCAUCUGCCUUCUUCUUGUUUUGCUCUGAACACCACCCAAAGGUCCAAAGUGAACACCCAGGCCUAUUCAUUGGGUAUACGGCAAAAAAAUUGGGUGAAAUGUGGUCUGAACAGUCAGCCAAAGAUAAACAACCAUAUGAACAGAAAGCAGCUAAGCUAAAGGAGAAAUGGGAAAAGGAUACGGCUGCAUACCGUGCCAAGGGCAAAAGUGAGGCAGGAAAGAAGGGCCCUGGCAGGCCAACAGGCUCAGAGAAGAAGAGUGAACCAGAAGAUGAGGAGGAAGAGGAGGAGAAGGAAGACGAAGAGGAUGAGCAAGAGGAAAAGGAAGAUGAUGAGAAGGAAGAUGAAGAGUAAAUGGCUAUCCUGUAACG